rnacentral:rRNA from 1 species
GUCUACGGCCAUACCACCCUGAACAAGUCUGAUACCAUCUGAUCUCGGAAGCUAAGCAGGGUUGGGCCUGGUUAGUACUUGGAUGGGAGAACACCUAGGAAGACCAGGUGCUGUAGGCA